UGGCUGACCUGACGGAGGUCAUUACAUUCAGUAGCUUGCUGCUGUUAGGGGGGUCUAUUAGUCUGUAUAGUAUCACUACUGAUGAGCAGCACGACCCUCUGUCUAUACCCUUGUCUUUUGCGCACUCAUGUUUCCUCGGCGGCUUAACACCCGCCGGCUGGAUCAAUCUAUAACCUUUUUAAUUUUCAAUCAGCGUCUGAAAAACCUAAUAAUUACAACUUUCAACAACGGAUCUCUUGGUUCUGGCAUCGAUGAAGAACGCAGCGAAAUGCGAUAAGUAGUGUGAAUUGCAGAAUUCAGUGAAUCAUCGAAUCUUUGAACGCACAUUGCGCCCCUUGGUAUUCCAUGGGGCAUGCCUGUUCGAGCGUCAUUUGUACCCUCAAGCUCUGCUUGGUGUGGGGGUGUUUGUCCACUAUCGUGGACUCGCCUUAAAGUCAUUGGCAGCCAGUGUUUUGGUAUUGAAGCGCAGCACAUUUUGCGCCUCUAGCCUAGGACACUAGCGUCCAGUAAGCCUUUUUCCACUUUUGACCUCGGAUCAGGUAGGGAUACCCGCUGAACUUAAGCAUAUCAAAA
rnacentral:rRNA from 1 species